rnacentral:lncRNA from 1 species
AGGAGAUCUCCUUGGCUUAAAAGAGGAUGAAUAUGACAAAUUGUUCGUAAUACUUUUGGACAUGCUUAGUGGAAUAUAAAUAGGCAGAAGAUCACCACCUUUUGUAGAGAAACAUGUGGUAUGAAACUUUUGUGUGACUCUAAAGUUAGAACUACUUGUUAGAAACAAUAUGUGUCAUUUACUGCCACCACUAGAUGAUGUAAUCAAAGAUAAUGGAUCAACAUGUGCCAAUAUAUGUGAUCAAGCUUUUGUUCUCUCCAAUAAUUACAACUGCCAUUAUAUGAGGAAGGUGAUGGUUAGGAUACAUGAGAAAAGAUCGUUGAUGGAGAAGUGGGUAGGAUCAAUUUGUCCAAACAUACAUAAGAAACUGAAUGCAUACAUCGUCGAUUCAGGAAACUGUCAUGCAAUCUGCAAUGGGAUGGACAAGUUUGAGGUUACUCAUCUCACUCAUAGGUUCAUAGUUGAUCUUGAAAGAAAAACUUGUUCAUGCAGAUAUUGGGAGUUGGGUGGGCUUCCAUGUUGCCAUGCAAUAGCCUGCAUACACUUUAGAACCAACUGCAUAGACAGUUAUAUUGCACCUUGCUACUCCAUAUAUUCUUUCAAAAAGACCUACAGCUUUGCUUUGGAACCAGUUCAGGGAAUGGAAAGCUGGCCUACAUCUGAUAGGCCAAGGCCACAUGCUCCAGGUUAUGUUAGAAUGCUAGGAAGGCCGUCCAAGAAAGAAAGGAGAAGAGAGCCACAUGAAAAGGCCAAAGCUACAAGGGUGUCAAGGGUUGGGUCAGUGAUGACUUGCAGGUUGUGCAAACUGCCUGAGCACAACAAGGCUUCAUGCCACAAGAGGUCAAAACAGCAGCAAGACAAUGUGCAGGUAGUAAAUAUUGUUGCACUAAUUUUGCAUCAAUUUACCAGCACAUCAAAAUUGUACUUUUAUGUUUUUUUGUACAACUUGCAGGCUCAAGGAUCUCAGCCAAUCUCUUCACAGGCCCAGGCUCAAGGAUCUCUGCCAAUCUCAGAAAAGGCUUCAUCAUCUGGAAAGAGAAAGGCUUCUUCAUCUACAAGGGCAGCUGGAAUGGUUGGGGUCAAGCAACCAAGACAGAAGUUGGAAGUUAGGAGAUCUCCUUGGCUUAAAAGAGGAUGAAUAUGACAAAUUGUUCGUAAUACUUUUGGACAUGCUUAGUGGAAUAGAAAUAGGCAGAAGAUCACCACCUUUUGUAGAGAAACAUGUGGUAUGAAACUUUUGUGUGACUCUAAAGUUAGAACUACUUGUUAGAAACAAUAUGUGUCAUUUACUGCCACCACUAGAUGAUGUAAUCAAAGAUA